ensembl:lncRNA
CCCAUAGGUCGAAGCGGGCGGAGGGGGAAGGGGGCUCCUCUUUCCCGGCGUCCCUUUUCUCCUGUCAACCGGGAGGAAGCUAAGAUGGCGGCCUUGGCGACGGGCGGGGGGAUGCCGAGUGACGGGGCUACCAGUUUCCAGCGGAAAGUUCCUGCUAGUAGCCGCCUGGCCACUAUUGCGGGCACCCGGCCCUCGGUGCGCCACGGGCAACUGCUGCUCUCCAGUGGGCUCCCCUCCCUGGACUGUGUGCUAGGUGGAGGUUUAGCUGUUGGAACCCUUCUUCUUAUUGCUUUGGAAGCUGCUGUUCUGGAGAGUUCUUUCUGAGCAGUGAACCUAAGCCCAAGUUCAGAGCAAAGAUCUCCCAUUGCUGUGGCAGUGGGGAAUGUCCCACUAUGAAGGCUGUCUAGCAUGGAGGGUCUUAAAAUGAAAAUUCACAGGAUAAAACAAAAUUCACUGUGGAGAAAUACCUGGGCUACUGAUCUCAGUGUCUGCAAAGUUGGGGCUGGAAAUAAAAGAUGCAAAAAUAUCAAAAUUUCCAUGAUUAAUAUGAGACUUAUUUGGUAUUAUAUUGGACCCUGCAAAACUGCCAAAAUCAGCAUUAAUAAAAAUUAUAAUUCUGAUAAAAAUAAUGAGGACCCCAUAAACCUGCUUGUUCAAUAGUGCAGUGUUCUUGGAGAAACAAAAUAUAAAUAAUGAUUCUGAUCUGGUAGUCCUUCAAGCAAAAUUCCCAUUGACUUAAAUUGGCACCAAUGGGAAAUAUAAGGAUAGCAAAUAAGAUAAGUCAUUGUUAACUGUUGGAGGAAAACUGCUCUAGAGUGAUGUAUGAGGCUGUUCAACCUCAACAACUUUGAGAAAAUUAUGUGAGACAAACAACUAUGACAUUUAGUCUUGUUUCUUAGAGAUUAGAGAAGACUAAAUAAAUGGAAAUCCUAUUCUUGUAUGUAUGCAUCAGGUGGAAACUUUUUCGAACAGUAAUCAACAUACAUAUACAUUUGUAUGUUCACUUUUAUUCAUAAUGCAUGCAUCGUAUACAUAUAUAUUAAACACCAAAAAGUAUUAAAGGUUUAAUACAAAUUGACAUUUCAGAAUAUUCAGUAAAAUUGACAGUUAUAUGCUUCUGUAAAGGGAUUGGGAACGGUGAAUUGGCUUGUGUUUGACUCAAAUUAUUACAACCAUAAUGAUAUAUAAAGGGUGCAGCUUCUUUAGUAGCAUUAGUUUUUUUUUUGUUUUAUGUACAUUUUAAUACCUAUGGAAGUACCACAAAACUGGUUCAGUAUAGAUAACAGAAGUACAGUCUUCCCCAUUCUGCUCUACUAAUAUCCCUUUAGCCAUAAGUAGCCAUCUUUACAGCUAAGAGCUAAUUUAAUCUCUCUGACCAUUCAAAUCUAACUUCAAAAAGAUCUUUAUUGGAAUGAAAAUCUACUCAAGUGUGGCCAAAGUGGGAACAAGGACAUACUCUGUUCGGCGGUAGUUUCGAGACAUCAAGCAUCUGACCAAGAUAUGGUUUCACAAUAUUAAGAAAUUUAAUCAUUUAUAUCUAGUUGUCAAAGAUUAUAAAGACCAAAAGGGACCACAGUGUUCAUCUGUUUACUACCGCUUGUAUAACACAGGCCAUAGGACUUCCCUGAAUUAAUUCCUGUUUGAGUAGACCAUAUCCUUUUUAUAAAAAUAUAUAAUCUUGAUUUUAAAAACUUCAGUGUUUGAGAAUCAACCAUGACUCUUGGUAAAUUAUUCCAAUGGUUAAUUACCCUCCCUGUAACAAAUGUGCACCUUAUUGCUAAUCUAAAUUUGUCUAGCUUCAACUUCCAGCCUUUGGAUCUUGUUCCUCCUGUAUAGACUGUGAUCAAGUCCCCUAUUAACCUUUAUUUUGUUAAACUAAAUAGAUUGAGCUCCUUAAAUCUAUAGGGCAUGUUUUCCAAUUAUUUAAACAUUCUUGUGGCUCUUUGAACUGACUCCAGUUCAUCAACAUCCUUCUUGAAUUGUGGAUACCAGAAAUGGACACUAUUCCAGUAGCUGCUGCCCCAGUCACAAAUACAGAGGUAAUAUAACCUCCCUAUUCCUACUUGAUAAUUCUCUGUUUACACAACCAGGGAUCGCAGUAGUCCUUUUGGUCACCGCUUCACAGCUCUUGUUCAGUUGAUUAUCCACCAUGGUCCCCAAUUUCUUUUCAGAGUCGCUGCUUCCCAGGAUAGAGACCACUAUCCUGUGGGUAUGACCUAUAUUCUUUGUCCUAAAUUUAUGACUUUACAUUUUGCUACGUUUAAAAAUUCCUUGCUUCCAGUUUACCAAAUGAUCCAGGCUGCUCGGUAUCAGUGACCUGUCCUCUUAAUUAUUUACUAUUCACACAAUCUUUGUAUCAUCUACAAACUUUAUUAGUAAUGGCUUUGUUUUCUUCCAGGUCAUUGAUAAAAAUGUUAAAUAGUGAAGGCUAAAAACUGCUUCCUGCAGGACUGCACUGGAAACAUACCCCUUCAGUCAUUACUCCCCAUUUACAAUUACAUUUUGAUCUAGUUUUGAAAUCCAUUUUACGUGUGCCAUGUUGAUUUUUGUAUCAUUCUAGUUUCUUAAUCCAAAUGUCAUAUAGUACCAAGUGAAAUGCCUUGCACAAGCCAAUUACGUCAAUACAGUUAUUUUUAUCAACCAAAUUUGUAAUGUAAAGGCCUGUAUUUACUGAGGUUAUUAUAUUUACCCUCUUUAAAUAUUGGCACAACAUUAGCUUUCAUACAGUCUUCUGGAAUGUCUCCAGUGUUCCAGGAUUUACUGAAAAUCAGCAUUAACGAUUCAGAGAGCUCCUCAGCCAUCUCUUUUAAAAUUCUUGGAUGUAAGAUAUCCAGAGACAUUUUUAAAUGUCUGUCUUUAUUAGCUCCUGUUUUAACAUCCUCCUGAGUUAAGUGUUAGAAUUUGAAGUAUUUCACUAUCAUUAUUGUAUAGCUACACAAAGGUUUUAAGAGUCUGGGUUUCAUGUCUAUGAUUUUCUAACAAUUAAAGUCCAAGAGGGGUGGGAAGGCUUGACGUGCAAUUACGUUACUUGCUGGUAAGAGAGCAGUUUUUCAUGCAUUGACUGGGGAAAAGACAUAUUCUACCUCUCGUAGUUGAUCAAACUAAGGCAGACAGAAGGCUAGGACAGUGAUAAAUUUUAAGCAGAUGUAGGCUAUCAAUUGAUAUUCCAGCUCAAGUCUGAAUUUGGAAAAGAGAUGACCAAAAGAAAUAGGGACAAUGAUAGGUUAAGGCAGAAAUCCCAUGGAAUAUCACAUUGAGGUUACUAGUGUUACAGGAACCCAAAAAACAGGUGGAGAAACUGGAAUAAAAUCAACAGAGGAAAAUGUCAGAGAUUUCUGACAACUGUGUUGAGUAACUGAGAAGGGAAGUCAGUAGUAUCAAAUAGAGCAUGAAGGUCAAGAUCUUUCUAAUGCUAGGUUCUCCCAUUGUCUGUUACAAUAUGGUAUAUCUCAAGAUACUGAAACUUAUGAUUUAUAGUGCCAUAAGUACAUGGACUGUACAGAACAAAUAAUAAGACAAGGUCUUCACCCUGAAGACAGCCUAGGGAAGAGCAAAAU